rnacentral:misc_RNA from 1 species
GAUGAAGAACGCAGCGAAACGCGAUAAGUAAUGUGAAUUGCAGGAUCCAGUGAAUCAUCGAAUCUUUGAACGCACAUUGCGCCCGCCAGCAUUCUGGCGGGCAUGCCUGUUCGAGCGUCAUUUCAACCCUCGACCUCCCCUUGGGGAGGUCGGCGUUGGGGACCGGCAGCACACCGCCGGCCCUGAAAUGGAGUGGCGGCCCGUCCGCGGCGACCUCUGCGCAGUAAUACAGCUCGCACCGGGACCCCGACGCGGCCACGCCGUAAAACACCCAACUUCUGAACGUUGACCUCGAAUCAGGUAGGACUACCCGCUGAACUUAAGCAUAUCAAUAAGCGGAGGA